rnacentral:lncRNA from 1 species
UAGAUGUGCCAUUCCAGAACCCUUGAGAAUACAGAAGCACUGUGCCCCAGUUCUCCACUGGACUCCUUAAAGCCCAGCAGUAUUACCUUUGUCUUCUGGGAUAUGGAUAUUGUGACCCUUCCCUAUGUUCUUUCUGGUGCUAAGAGAACUCAUUCCAGUCCCGUUGAUCUUGGAACACUCUCUUUGAUCAAAUCACAGAAUCUUUGUCUCUGAAACAAACAAGUGAAUAAAUAAUUAAACCUCUAAAGCUAGCUUCCUGGAAUUUU